CAACCCUCAAGCCCCCGGGCUUGGCGUUGGGGAUCGGCAUCCGGCGGCGGCCCCUCGGGACCACCGCCCGCCGUCCCCCAAAUCCAGUGGCGGUCACGUCGCGGCCUCCCAUGCGUAGUAGCAACACCUCGCACCGGAGCCCGUCGUGCCCACGCCGUAAAACCCCCGACUUUAUUUU
rnacentral:misc_RNA from 1 species